GUGUCUGUCCGCAGCUGGCAAGCGAAUGUAAAGACUAGACUAAGCAUGUAGUACCGAGGAUGUAGGAAUUUCGGACGCGGGUUCAACUCCCGCCAGCUCCACCA
rnacentral:tRNA from 4 species